UAUUUUCGUUUUUUUUUCGUUUUUUUUUUUCGUUUUUUUUUCUUUUCCGAAACACACGUUUCGCCUAGCGAGCAUGACAACUCAUGAACAAACCUUUGCUCCUUCAAGAUUAACGUUUUGACUAACGAAUAGACCCCUGUUGGAAGUAUCUCAAUCCAUUCCCUUGUGUUGACUGAUCACCCAGAUAGGACCCACAAAG
rnacentral:lncRNA from 1 species